GAUGAACGCUGGCGGCAUGCCUAAUACAUGCAAGUCGAGCGAAUGGAUUAAGAGCUUGCUCUUAUGAAGUUAGCGGCGGACGGGUGAGUAACACGUGGGUAACCUGCCCAUAAGACUGGGAUAACUCCGGGAAACCGGGGCUAAUACCGGAUAACAUUUUGAACCGCAUGGUUCGAAAUUGAAAGGCGGCUUCGGCUGUCACUUAUGGAUGGACCCGCGUCGCAUUAGCUAGUUGGUGAGGUAACGGCUCACCAAGGCAACGAUGCGUAGCCGACCUGAGAGGGUGAUCGGCCACACUGGGACUGAGACACGGCACAGACCCCUACGGGAGGCAGCAGUAGGGAAUCUUCCGCAAUGGACGAAAGUCUGACGGAGCAACGCCGCGUGAGUGAUGAAGGCUUUCGGGUCGUAAAACUCUGUUGUUAGGGAAGAACAAGUGCUAGUUGAAUAAGCUGGCACCUUGACGGUACCUAACCAGAAAGCCACGGCUAACUACGUGCCAGCCGCCGCAGUAA
rnacentral:rRNA from 1 species